rnacentral:rRNA from 1 species
UACGUAGGGGGCAAGCGUUGUCCGGAUUUAUUGGGCGUAAAGAGCGUGUAGGCGGCCAAGCAGGUCCGCUGUGAAAACUCGAGGCUCAACCUCGGGCUUGCAGUGGGUACGGGCAGACUAGAGUGCGGUAGGGGUGACUGGAAUUCCUGGUGUAGCGGUGGAAUGCGCAGAUAUCAGGAGGAACACCGAUGGCGAAGGCAGGUCACUGGGCCGCAACUGACGCUGAGGAGCGAAAGCAUGGGGGAGCGAACAGG